CCUACGGGAGGCAGCAGUGAGGAAUAUUGGUCAAUGGGCGGAAGCCUGAACCAGCCAAGUAGCGUGCAGGAUGACGGCCCUACGGGUUGUAAACUGCUUUUAUACGGGAAUAACGCGCCUUACGUGUAGGGCUUUGCAUGUACCGUAUGAAUAAGGACCGGCAAAUUCCGUGCCACCAGCCGCGGUAAUACGGGAGGUCCGGGCGUUAUCCGGAUUUAUUGGGUUAAAAGGGAGCGUAGGCCGCAUGACAAGCGUGCGGUGAAAUGGCCGGGCUAAACCCGGGCCUUGCAGCGCGAACUGGCGUGCUUGAGUCCGCGGAAAGCAGGCGGAAUUCGGGGUGUAGCGGUGAAAUGCUUAGAUAUGACGAAGAACCCCGAUUGCGAAGGCAGCUUGCGGCAGCGGAACUGACGCUGAUGCUCGAAAGCGCGGGUAUCGAACAGGAUUAGUACCCUAGUAGUC
rnacentral:rRNA from 1 species